rnacentral:rRNA from 1 species
ACGCUUGUUGGUGAGGUAAUGGCUCACCAAGGGCGACGACGGGUAGCCGGCCUGAGAGGGCGACCGGCCACACUGGGACUGAGACACGGCCCAGACUCCUACGGGAGGCAGCAGUGGGGAAUAUUGCACAAUGGGCGAAAGCCUGAUGCAGCGACGCCGCGUGAGGGAUGACGGCCUUCGGGUUGUAAACCUCUUUCAGCAGGGAAGAAGCGAAAGUGACGGUACCUGCAGAAGAAGCGCCGGCUAACUACGUGCCAGCAGCCGCGGUAAUACGUAGGGCGCGAGCGUUGUCCGGAAUUUAUUGGGCGUAAAGAGCUCGUAGGCGGCUUGUCACGUCGGUUGUGAAAGCCCGGGGCUUAACCCCGGGUCUGCAGUCGAUACGGGCAGGCUAGAGUUCGGUAGGGGAGAUCGGAAUUCCUGGUGUAGCGGUGAAAUGCGCAGAUAUCAGGAGGAACACCGGUGGCGAAGGCGGAUCUCUGGGCCGAUACUGACGCUGAGGAGCGAAAGCGUGGGGAGCGAACAGGAUUAGAUACCCUGGUAGUCCACGCCGUAAACGGUGGGCACUAGGUGUGGGCGACAUUCCACGUCGUCCGUGCCGCAGCUAACGCAUUAAGUGCCCCGCCUGGGGGAGUACGGCCGCAAGGCUAAAACUCAAAAGGAAUUGACGG